GAAGAGAGACCAUAGACAUCAUCUUCAGAAGACAGAAGAGAAGUGAGAAGACGAUAACUGCAAUCAUUCUCCCAAUUACACAAACACAAACACAACAGCUUACGAUGUCGUUUGGAUCGUCUCUGUUGUCUCCUCCGCACGCUGUUUGGUUUUUGCCGAACAGAACAUGUCAAACCUUUCGCUUCAAGGCCGCUGCCAACGUUCCCGAUUUCCUUUCUGCAGAUUGGUUUGAAUCUCGCAAGAAAAAACCUUUUGGGCCAAGAUUAGAUUUUAGUGCAGAAGAUGCUGUGCAUUACCAGCUUGAAGCAUUGAAAAACAAUGACCAGCCCCGUCAAGAUUAUGGAAUUGAGGUUAUGUACAGGUUUGCAGGAUUUGAUCCUUUUGAAAGAUCGACCUAUUUUGGGCCUUUCUUUGAUUUGGGUCAGUUUGAAAGGUUCAGGCGGAUUUUUCACCAUUCUACUUAUCGAGUCUUACUAGGUCACAAGGAAAGAAAGAUCAUGAGCAGUUUGUUUGUGGAGGAGAACAAAUAUAAACAGCGGGUUUGGGUUCGUGGAAGUCGACCAGAGGAAGAGGAGAUAUUUCAAUUUACCGUGGUUCAGAGAGUUGGCGGUUGCUGGGAUGGUUAUUGGUUGACAGAGUCUUUGCUUCACGAUAGGGAUACAUUUGCUGGUGGGUUGGCAUAUUAAAAAAGAUCCAAUGUGCAAGAAUCAGUUUCAUGAGCCUCCAUUGUCAAAGCAUGAAAUGAUCUGCUCUUACUAUACUAAUCUGUAAAUAUGAUCUGGCAUACGUUUAGUGCUUAAUUAUACUCAAAUGUGUAUACUUGUGCUCAAACCUUCAUGUACGUGUAUUUUAAUGCACCCUCGGAUUCAUUUAUCCUACAAAGUGGUUCAAAAUUUGUUGGCCCCCCUUGGUUAUUCCAAACCGUAAGUUGUAUCCCACCACCUUUUGUAGUUCAAAGUUGUUGUUAUUAAGAUAAAAUAAAAU